GCGGCUGGCGCUCUUCUUCGUCAAGAGCUCCAUGCACCUGGCGCGCUGCCGCUGGGCCAGUGCGCCCCCGCUCUACACGCUCAUCGACGUGCUCAAGUACAGCUACGUGCGGCUUGUGUGCAAGGACGUGCGUGCGCCCAGCCGGCCCGCCGUGGGAAACAGAGACUCGGAGAUCUGAAAGUGGAACAGCAUCAAACACACACAUCACCCAGAAACCUAGAACGUUAGAGCUUGCAAGAAGCUCAAAGAAGCUCAGGCCUAAUCUGAAACCUAUUAACAGAACCCAGUUCCAAUGUAACAAAUGCUUAUUGAGCACCUA
rnacentral:sRNA from 1 species